rnacentral:tRNA from 1 species
AGUUCUGUACUUUAACAAAAAGAUUUGAUUUGCAAUUAAAAAUUGAGUAGACUACACUCCAGAACUA